UGCCAGCCGCCGCGGUAAUACGUAGGGUGCGAGCGUUGUUCGGAAUUACUGGGCGUAAAGGGUGUGUAGGCGGAAAGGUCAGCUAGAGGUGAAAUCCCGGGGCUCAACCCCGGAGGUGCUUCUGGAACUGCCUUUCUAGAGAGGGUCAGGGGCCAGCGGAAUUCCUGGUGUAGAGGUGAAAUUCGUAGAUAUCAGGAGGAACACCGGCGGCGUAAGCGGCUGGCUAGGGCCACUCUGACGCUGAGGCACGAAAGCGUGGGUAGCGAACAGGAUUAGAUA
rnacentral:rRNA from 1 species